UGGAGUGUCGCUUAGUGGUAGAGCACCUGCCUAGCAGGUGUGAGGCACUGAGUUCAAUCCCCAGUGCUGCAG
rnacentral:tRNA from 1 species